rnacentral:rRNA from 1 species
AUACGUAGGGGGCGAGCGUUGUCCGGAAUGAUUGGGCGUAAAGGGCGCGUAGGCGGCCCGGUAAGUCUGGAGUGAAAGUCCUGUUUUUAAGAUGGGAAUUGCUUUGGAUACUGUCGGGCUUGAGUGCAGGAGAGGUAAGUGGAAUUCCCAGUGUAGCGGUGAAAUGCGUAGAGAUUGGGAGGAACACCAGUGGCGAAGGCGACUUACUGGACUGUAACUGAGGCUGAGGCGCGAGAGUGUGGGGAGCAAACAGGAUUUGAUACCCUGGUAGGCCACGCCGUAAACGAUGGGCGCUCGUCGUCGGCGGCAGACAGUCGGCGGCCAAGCGAAAGCGAUAAGCGCCCCACCCGGGGAGUACGGUCGCAAGGCUGAAUCUCAAAGGAAUUGGCGGGG